CACGUAGGGUGCGAGCGUUGUCCGGAAUUAUUGGGCGUAAAGAGCUCGUAGGCGGUGUGUCGCGUCGGCCGUGAAAACCUGCAGCUUAACUGUGGGCGUGCGGUCGAUACGGGCAUCACUGGAGUUCGGCAGGGGAGACUGGAAUUCCUGGUGUAGCGGUGAAAUGCGCAGAUAUCAGGAGGAACACCGGUGGCGAAGGCGGGUCUCUGGGCCGAUACUGCCGCUGAGGCGCGAAAGCGUGGGGAGCAAACAGG
rnacentral:rRNA from 1 species